rnacentral:rRNA from 1 species
GAACACAACUCUCAGCAACGGAUAUCUUGGCUCNNGCAACGAUGAAGAACGCAGC